rnacentral:lncRNA from 1 species
CUCUCUCUCUCUCUCUCUCUCUCUCUUCCCUAAUGCCAUUUCUUUUGCGAUCCUCUUUUCCAGGGGCCUCCCCAAGUCCACAGUGCAUUUCACCUGGGGUGAGGCUCACCUCUCCGGGCCGCAGUCACCAUGCAGACUGCUCUCUUUCCUGUGUACCUUGUUUUUUUUUCCGCUCUCUCUGUGCAUCCCACGAGGCGCUGCACUAACUGAUGGAAUGCACGCAGGUGCCAGAGAGGUAUUGGAAGCGCCAUGCAGAAAGCUUUACUAAAAAGAGCCAGAUUUGCAGUCUCCUAUCCUGGCUCCAACCGUAAGCAGGGACAAGGAAGUGAAAGGACCUCUCUUUGGAACAAAUGUCUGUGCUGGAUCUGGCCUCUGAGCAAGAAGAAGGCAACAGGAGAGGGCCUGAAAUGUAAGCAGAUGUUCUUUCUUCAAAGUUGCUACCAUGACAUUACUGGCCUUUCCCUGUAGUCUUUUUCUCAUUCAUUGCCUAGAGUAUAUUCUUUGUAUAUAUUCUUAAGCGACACCCCUCAGAUGUGCCACGUGUUGUUUACUCUUCAUUGGUGUGGUGCUCUCAGCCCAGAGGACCCCUUGUAGGACAACGGAGAAUUUGCCUGUUUGCCUGGUGUCUAUCUACGAUCCCUAAGGGCUGCUGCUACUGAACAUCUUGAGUCGGUUCACCUUGAUUGUUACAAUGAAACCACCGAGUGAUUCUCCAAGGUCAUUGAUUGCUGAGGAUAAAACGUAAUUCUCCAACUUCCGGGUUUUCAGAUUUUUCUGAGGACUUUGAUUCCAGAUGGCCGAAAGAAGCAAUUCCUUCUGGCCCUACCAGGGUAGAAUUAUAUAAGUUAACAAAGAGAGUAUACUGCUGUGAUGGUUUGUAUAUCCUUGGACCAGGGAGUGGCACCAUCUGAAGGUGUGGCCUUGUUGGAAUGGGUGUGUCACUGUGGGUGUGGGUAUAAGAUCCUCACCCUAGAUGCCUGGAAGUCAGUCUUCCACUAGCAGUCUUUGGAUGAAUACAUAGAACUCUCAGCUCCUCCUGCACCAUGCCUGCCUGGAUGCUGCCAUGCUCCCUCCUUGAUGAUAA